rnacentral:rRNA from 1 species
UACGUAGGGCGCAAGCGUUGUCUGGAAUUAUUGGGCGUAAAGAGCUCGUAGGCGGCCUGUUGCGUCCGCUGUGAAAUCCCGGGGCUUAACCCCGGGCUUGCAGUGGAUACGGGCAGGCUGGAGGCAGGCAGGGGAGAACGGAAUUCCCGGUGUAGCGGUGAAAUGCGCAGAUAUCGGGAGGAACACCGGUGGCGAAGGCGGUUCUCUGGGCCUGUACUGACGCUGAGGAGCGAAAGCGUGGGGAGCGAACAGG